AAGCCAUCAUUGAAUCUCUCCCAGGCUUCACAAAUGGAUUCAGACUGCUUUUGGGUAAAACUGGAGAUUUCAUUCCUAAGCCU
rnacentral:snoRNA from 1 species